GGAAUAUUGCACAAUGGGGGAAACCCUGACGCAGCGACGCCCCGUGAGUGAAGAAGUAUUUCGGUACGUAAAGCUCUAUCAGCAGGGAAGAAAAUGACGGUACCUUACUAAUAUGCCCCGGCUAACUACGUGCGAGCAGCCGCGGUAAUACGUAGGGGGCAAGCGUUAUCCGGAUUUACUGGGUGUAAAGGGAGCGUAGACGGCAGCGCAAGUCUGGAGUGAAAUCCCAUGGCUUAACCAUGGAACUGCUUUGGAAACUGUGCAGCUAGAGUGCAGGAGAGGUAAGCGGAAUUCCUAGUGUAGCGGUGAAAUGCGUAGAUAUUAGGAGGAACACCAGUGGCGAAGGCGGCUUACUGGACUGUAACUGACGUUGAGGCUCGAAAGCGUGGGGAGCAAACA
rnacentral:rRNA from 1 species